CCGCUUCGGCCCUCGCCUAUCCCCCAAUGACGAUCCCCAAUUUCAGGCGUCGCCCAUCGCUGGGUGCUUCUCCGCCAUCGCCCGUGUAACCCCACCCAAUCCCUCGCUCGCUCGCCGGGAUCCAAGGUGGCCGCAGCGGCCGGGAGCAGACGCGCGCGGGAGGAGUAGUUCGGGUCCGCGCCGCUGCCCUUUGCCUCUGCCACCAACGCCGCCUGCGCCGCCGCCCUUUGCCACCGCCACCACCGCCGUCCGCGCCACCGCCCUUUGCCGUCGCCACCACCGCCGUCCCCUCCGCCGCCACCACCACCGUCCAAACCGCUCUCGGCCGUUGCCGGGGAUCCCGGCCGCGCAGCAAAUCCAGCGCAAAGGAUCUCAAGGCCUGCCGCCCUGCCCGGUGCACCCAUCCAUAGGCACAUGUUCUCCAUAGUUCCAUUGGAUCCCUUGCCGCCUCUCCUCUUUCCCUCGCUGGAGAAGCCUUUUUCAUCGUGGCUUGCCCUGGAUGCUAGAUUCUGCAAUUCCUCACCUGCAGUAUGGAAGUGCAUCUGCACCUGGGGCGCUAGCUGCUGAUGGCCAUAGAUAACAGCAACGUGUACGAGCGGAAGGCUUUUUCCUGAAGGGAUUGAGAUUACCAGGAUUCAGAUUGGAUCCCUGCUGUGUCAGUGCAGGAGAACUGCUCGAACACGUAGGCAUGACAUGGCCGAUGCUGAUUACACCUGGACUGCUUUGACAUAAAAGAUUCCCGGGCCCCUUGACUGAAAUCCUGACUAAAUUGCAAGUUUCCCUUCUUGAAAUUACUGCAUCUGAAGCUUCCAAUCUCACCAACUUCGCUGGAGCACCGUGCGCCCGUGCUCGAGCAGAGGUACCAAUUUUCAGUACUGUUUUUAGAGGCUUCUACGUGAAUCCCAUGCAUGGCUUUGUGGCAUGCAAGACUUUCCUGCUAGACAAGCAAGAAAACAGAGCCAUCACGCUUGCCCUACUGUAGCAGCCUUCAAAGCACCACAGAACCUGGGCUCUCUCAAUGUCAGUUCAUUAGCUGAGCUGAUCUCACAUGCUAACGCCAUGUAAUCUUUUUUCUACAUUCCACAUUUAUGAGUUGGAUUAUAUCGUAGAUUGCAGUUCAGAUCAUUAUCAUGUAUGUUGCUCCUUUGAAAGUUAGACUUCAUAAAGAAGCAAUUUGAUCCGACCACAAUACCUCUGAAUAGAUGCAUCAUGGAUUUGUGGGUUCACCUUCUUAGAAGGUGCAAUUCUGGUGAUGGUGUCAUAAUUGAUAAAUAUAUACAUUGCUUCAUAUGUUGGAUAGUUUUGGCGGCCUUCUUUGUGAGGUACACUUGACUGAUGAGGGCUUAAAAGGGGCCUUGGUUGUCUGUCAACUGAAAACUCUGUUUGUGCACAACCUAUAUCCUCUAUGAGAAGGAACUGGAUGGAGCAAGGUCUAAAUGCCUCAAAUUGCUUAAAGAUAUUCUAUGCUCGGCAAGGAGAUGGAGAGCGAGAAGUAUGGCAGGGUCCUUGAGUGGUAUUCGCUAAAGAAAUACUUGGAGAUCAAAAUCAUUAGAGAGUGAGGCUGCACUCUUAGUGGCAGGCAGAAACAAAGGAUUUAGAUAGCCCGAGCAUUGUAUCAGUAUGCUGACAACUAUUUGUUCCAUGAUCCGUUCAACGCAAUUGAUGCUCAUACAGGAUCCCAAUUUUCCAAGAUCGAUGGUUUCACCGCGGUCGUCGGGAGAAAUAUCAUCAAUGGUAGGGGAAAAGCAGGUAGGCUGAGGCGGGCAACCACACCAAGCGGCCGACCCAAGAAGGCAGCCCUGCAGCUCCGCCUUGUGCCACUCCCCAUCUCUAUGUUUGUGUCAGACCCAGCGCAAGGUAGAGGCAGAAGAGGAGGCCGGGAAGAGAAGCUGCAAGGUAGGAGGCUUUUGAUCUGAAGGCAAGAGUUGGACGAUCUGCUCACAAAGACACACCUUUAUUCUGAAUUUCUACUUGAAAAGAUUGAUCAGUAGCUGAAGUGGAAGAAGAAGAUGAACCUGUAGAAGAGCUGAAAAAAGGACGUGAUAGAAAGAAGGAAGCGAAGCCUAAACAGUAUAAUGAUUACUACCUCGCCCAGCCGCACAUCCAAGAUGCGACACUUGCUGGAAAGCUGGUCAAGUAAUGUCACAGCAGCUGAAUUUCUUCAUAACUGGCAUAGGCAGUUAUCUUCUUAUGUGCUGCUAUUUCUAGAGGUGAAUGGUAUGUAUAGCAUGCAUGUACCAUCAAAUACAUCUAGCCUGCCCGUAAGUGCAGUAAGAAAUAAUGAUAUGAUGAGCUAGGGUGAGAAUUUCAAAGUGUUGAAGACAGAAUCAGGCUUUUAUUUUCUUGAAUUAUUUGAAGUGGAUCAUAUAUGUAAAACUUCAAAUAAUUUCUGAACCCACUAGAUGUUGCAGCGUAGAACUACUACUUCUUCAACUUGAAAAGGGUCCAUGAUUUUUUCAUAGCUGCGUUGUUAGCUUAUCUAUUGAUUGUGGUUUUCUUCUUGGUAAUCAUAACUAAGUUUUCGCUUUACUGUAAACUGCACAUAUGCAAUUGUGAAGGGCAUUCAGUUUUUUCUUCAGAAGCAAAGAUAGUAAGCUUCUCUUAUUCCCAGGAAAGCUCUCUACUUUAUUUCGACUGUAGAGUAGAGGGGCAAAGACAAUUUAUGAGCAGAAUGGUAGUGAAGAGAGGAGCUGCACAGUGGCUUCUCGUCGUGACAACUAUUUUCUUAACCUUUUUUUACCUCUACUGUUUUGCAAUAGUUGACUUGAUGUUUUGCUUUGGCUGCUUUGCUAUGUACAAUGGGUGGUUGUAGCUGCUGCUUGUAGCAUUGUAUGGUUGAUGUGUUUUGUCUUUGAUGCAAUCCAAAUU